rnacentral:ribozyme from 1 species
CAGUUGUAUGAUGUAAUGCUCAGGUUGGCUCCUAAUAAACCUGAAAUGCACCAGAAGCGGUGCAAACGGGAAACAGAAAAAUUGAAACGCUGUGAACCAAGCGUUCGAGAACCCGAUUUA